rnacentral:rRNA from 1 species
GGGGGGGGGGGGGGGGGGGCGUGGGGGGGGCGGGGGGGGGGGGGGGGGGGGGCGGGUGGGGGGUGCGCGGGGGGCGGGGGGGGGGGUGACACGUGAGGAGGCUGCCCUGGACUUUGGGAUAGCUUCAGUGAACGGGGGCUACUCCCGGGUGGGAGCUCCUGCUGCAUGUUGGUGGUUGGGCAUUUUCGUCGGUUGGGACUGGACUCGCGUCUUAUCGGCUUGUGGGUGGGGGAGUGGCUUACCAAGGCUUUGACGGGUAGCCGGCCUGCUAGGGUGACCGGCCACAUUGGGACUGAGAUACGGACCAGACUCCUACGGGAGGCAGCAGUGGGGAAUAUUGCACAAUGGGCGGAAGCCUGAUGCAGCAACGCCGCGUGCGGGAUGACGGCCUUCGGGUUGUAAACCGCUUUCGCCUGUGACGAAGCGUGAGUGACGGUAAUGGGUAAAGAAGCACCGGCUAACUACGUG